rnacentral:rRNA from 1 species
AYGGYGGAGACCUAGGCACCUAAAGACGAUGAAGGGCGCAGAUACCGGCGAAACGCUUCGGGGAGCUGGCAACAAGCAUCGAUCCGAAGAUCCCCGAAUAGGGCAACCUCUUAGAACUGCCCACUGAAUUCAUAGGUGGGUCAGAGGCAACUCAGCGAAUUGAAACAUCUUAGUAGCUGAAGGAAAAGAAAGCAAAAGCGAUUCCCAAAGUAGCGGCGAGCGGAAUGGGAACAGCCUAAACUCAUCCUAAGGAUGGGGGUAGUGGGAAAACAAGAAGCGGCGGAGAAUAUCCUAAACGCAAGAAGUCUAGACGAAGCAGCUGAAUCCUGCACCAUAGAUGGUGAAAGUCCAGUAGUCAAAAGUAAAAACAACUCUGUUUUAUCCCGAGUAGCAUGGGGCACGUGGAAUCCCGUGUGAAUCUGCGAGGACCACCUCGUAAGGCUAAAUACUCUUAGGUGACCGAUAGCGAAAUAGUACAGUGAUGGAAAGUUGAAAGAGAACCCCCUUAAGGGGAGUGAAAUAGAACAUGAAACCGUAUGCUGACAAGCAGUGGGAGGGUUUAGUUCCUGACCGCGUGCCUGUUGAAGAAUGAGCCGGCGACUUAUAGGAAAUGGCGGGUUAAGGACAGAGAUCUGGAGCCCAAGCGAAAGCGAGUCUGAAUAGGGCGCUAAUGUCAUUUCUUAUGGACCCGAACCUGGAUGAUCUAACCAUGGCCAGGAUGAAGCUUGGGUAACACCAAUUGGAGGUCCGAACCGACCGAUGUUGAAAAAUCGGCGGAUGAGCUGUGGUUAGGGGAGAAAUUCCAAUCGAAUUCAGAGCUAGCUGGUUCUCCCCGAAAUGCGUUGAGGCGCAGCGGUAACGAUGAGCUGUCUAGGGGUAGAGCACUGUUUCGAUACGGGCUGCGAGAGCGGUACCAAGUCGUGGCAAACUCCGAAUACUAGGCAUAGCCUUCCGUAAACCAGUGAGACUGUGGGGGAUAAGCUUCAUAGUCAAGAGGGAAACAGCCCAGAUCACCAGCUAAGGCCCCUAAAUGACCGCUAAGUGGAAAAGGAUGUGAGAAUGCUGAAACAACCAGGACGUUCGCUUAGAAGCAGCUAACGUUUAAAGAGUGCGUAAUAGCUCACUGGUAAAGCGUUCUUGCGCCGAUAAUGGCCGGGACUAAGCGGUCUGCCGAAGCUGUGGGAUUUUUUUUCUUCGACUUCUUCGUCCUUUUACGCCUUGAAUUCAAGGCGUAAAAGGACGAAUAGCCGCUGACAAAAAGAAUCGGUAGGGGAGCGUUCCAUGUUGGGUGAAGCCAAUGCGUAAGCAUUCGUGGACAGCAUGGAAGUGAGAAUGUCGGCUUGAGUAACGAAAACAUUGGUGAGAAUCCAAUGCCCCGGAAACCUAAGGGUUCCUCCACAAGGCUCGUCCAUGGGGGGUGAGUCAGGACCUAAGGCGAGGCCGAACGGCGUAGUCGAUGGCAAACAGGUUAAUAUUCCUGUACUCAUUGUUGUGGGUACCGAGGGACGAAGAAGGCUAAGUUGUAGCUGUGCAUGGAAUGCAGCGGAAGCGUUCAAGACGUCGAUAGGUCGAACAAAAACGACUCUAGAGUCGAGGCGUGAUCCCAUUCUCCGGGACUUGUCCCGGAUGGAUGUCAACCACGUCACACUUCCAAGAAAAGCUCGUACGCCUGUGCCGCGUUCGCGCGGCGCAUAAACACAACGAUGACCUGUACCAUAAACCGACACAGGUAGGUAGGUAGAGAAUACUAAGGGGCGCGAGAGAACUCUCUCUAAGGAACUCGGCAAACUGGCCCCGUAACUUCGGAAGAAGGGGCGCCUGAUAACAUCAGGUCGCAGUGACCAGGCCCAGGCGACUGUUUACCAAAAACACAGGUCUCCGCAAAGUCGUAAGACAACAUAUGGGGGCUGACGCCUGCCCAGUGCCGGAAGGUGAAGGAAGUUGGUUAUCUCGCUACGCGGGAGAAGCUGACGACCGAAGCCCCGGUGAACGGCGGCUGUAACUAUGACAGUCCUAAGGUAGCGAAAUUCAUUGUCGAGUAAGUUUCGACCUGCACGAAAGGCGUAACGAUCUGGGCGCUGUCUCAGAGAGAGGCUCGGUGAAAUAGACUUGUCCGUGAAGAUGCGGACUACUAACACUUGGACAGAAAGACCCUAUGAAGCUUGACUGUAUUCUGGAAUUGAUUUCGGGCUUUUCUUGCGCAGGCCUAGGUGGGAGGCGUUGAAGAUCUCCUUCCGGGGGGAUCAGAGCCAUCAGUGAGAGACCACUCUGGGAAGGCUAGAAUUCUAAUGGCGAUCCUUGAAUCAGGACGCUUGACAGUUUCAGAUGGGCAGUUUCUCUGGGGCGGAGACCUCCUAAAAGGUAACGGAGGUGCGCAAUGGUUCCCUCAGUCUGGACGGAAAUCAGACAGCGAGUGUAAAGGCAAAAGGGAGCUUGACUGUGAGACCUACAAGUCAAACAGGGGCGAAAGCCGGCCUUAGUGAUCCGACGGUCCUGUGUGGAAAGGCCGUCGCUCAACGGAUAAAAGUUACUCUAGGGAUAACAGGCUAAUCUUCUCCAAGAGUUCACAUCGACGAGAAGGUUUGGCACCUCGAUGUCGGCUCAUCACAUCCUGGGGCUGUAGUAGGUCCCAAGGGUUGGGCUGUUCGCCCAUUAAAGUGGUACGUGAGCUGGGUUCAGAACGUCGUGAGACAGUUCGGUCCAUAUCCG